UCCUAGUUAACCUAGGCAGUCUUGUUAGAGUUCCCAUCCGAAAUGUUGGCAACUAACAAUAAGGGUUGCGCUCGUUGCGGGACUUAACCCAACACCUCACGGCACGAGCUGACGACAGCCAUGCAGCACCUGUACAAAGACCCUUGCGGGAAAUAACAUCUCUGUUAUCGUCCUCUGUAUGUCAAACCUGGGUAAGGUUCUUCGCGUUGCAUCGAAUUAAACCACAUGCUCCACUGCUUGUGCGGGCCCCCGUCAAUUCUUUUGAGUUUUAUCCUUGCGGACGUACUCCUCAGGCGGCAUACUUAACGCGUUCGCUCCGACACAGCCAGGGUUGAGCCCAGCUACAUCAAGUAUGCAUCGUUUACGGCAAGGACUAC
rnacentral:misc_RNA from 1 species